rnacentral:rRNA from 1 species
AACGAACGCUGGCGGCAUGCCUAACACAUGCAAGUCGAACGAGACCUUCGGGUCUAGUGGCGCAAGGGUGCGUAACGCGUGGGAACCUGCCCUUAGGUGCGGAAUAACUCCCCGAAAGGGGUGCUAAUACCGGAUAAUGUCUUCGGACCAAGGAUUUAUCGCCUUUGGAUGGGCCCGCGUUGGAUUAGCUAGUUGGUAGGGUAAAAGCCUACCAAGGCGACGAUCCAUAGCUGGUCUGAGAGGAUGAUCAGCCACACUGGGACUGAGACCCGGCCCAGACUCCUACGGGAGGCAGCAGUGGGGAAUAUUGGACAAUGGGCGAAAGCCUGAUCCAGCAAUGCCGCGUGAGUGAUGAAGGCCUUAGGGUUGUAAAGCUCUUUUACCCGGGAUGAUAAUGACAGUACCGGGAGAAUAAGCUCCGGCUAACUCCGUG